rnacentral:rRNA from 1 species
AUUGAACGCUGGCGGCAGGCCUAACACAUGCAAGUCGAACGAGGGGCGGACGGGUGAGUAAUGCGUGGGAAUCUGGCUUAGGGAGGGGGAUAAAGACGGGAAACUGUCGCUAAUACCGAGAACCAUAAGAUGAGCCUAAGUGGGAUUAGGUAGUUGGUGGGGUAAUGGACUACCAAGCCGAAGACCUCUAGCUGGUCUGAGAGGAUGACCAGCCAAACCGGAACUGAGACACGGCCCGGACUCCUACGGGAGGCAGCAGUGGGGAAUAUUGCGCAAUGGGUGCAAGCUUACGCAGCCAUGCCGCGUGAAUGAAGAAGGCCUUCGGGGUGUAAAGUUCUUUCGGUGAGGAGGCGUUAAUCACAGAAGAAGCACCGGCUAACUCCGUGCCAGCAGCCGCGGUAAUAC